AAAAAGGCCAUGAAAAGAGCAGUAGUUAUUUUUAAAACUUACAGAGAGUUCCUUUUGCUGAGAUGGAACAGUGGACAAUUUAAUGAAACAAGUCUUGGAGCUGCAUACGGAUCCUAUUUUAUCCAUAGGUGAUGCUAUGACGUUUGUUCACGUUACAGAACUAGGGUAUAAUUUUGUACUUGAUAAGGUUAGUAUGGUGACAUACUAAUGAAAUAGGGUGGCAACGCGGUAUAAUCGCCCCUACA
rnacentral:ncRNA from 1 species